UGGCGCUCUAGGGAGGAAGUGGCGGACGGGGCGGGCCUUGCGCUGGCGAGGUGAGGAUUGCAAGGACGUAAUGCGGAUGCGGGGCCGAGGUGUCGUCCGGUGUCGCCAAAGCGGAGCCACGACGGUACGGGGAUCCCGGAUGGUGGCCGAUUGGCGGCCUAACGUACCCAGGGCAGGUUUUUGCCCCCAGAUUAUAGCGCUGGCCCGGUUUUGUUUCUCUUUACACCUAUACUGUCCACGAGGCAGGAAUGAAAGGCAGAAAAAAAUCCUCGCCAGCAGCCGGGCAAGAAUUCCAGCACAGUUAGCAGCUGUUUAAGGCCGUUUUCUCUCUUCUCAGCCAUAAGCUAUUGUUUCUCUAGGAAUUUCACUAGAAACCCAGUUUACAGGCAGAGGACAAAACUUACCUUGUGCAACCCUAGUGGCACCUGGUUUUUACUUUAUCAGAUUACAGUUCCAUUCAAUGAACCACCCAUAAAGUUGAUUUAACAAAAGAGAGAGAAGUGGAAUGGUUCUCAGCGACAUUUUGAGAUUAACCACCAAAGAAGUAUAUGGCCAAUACGAAGACAAUUGCUACUCUCUCUCCCUUGAGGAGUCCAUAUUUCCACGUUGGUAUUGCCUUCUGAGCCUCAUGCUUAGGCCUAUAUUAAAGUUAUUCCUAAUAAAAUCUCCAGAUCUUCAUCACCUUGGCCAGUCCUGAAAUCUUUUUGGUCUGUAAGCCAGGAAUCCUAGUUUGGCCUGAGUCAAAGUUCCUAAAAAAUUAGAAGUCAGGGGAAGAAAAAAAAGUUAGGAGACUGCGGGCUGCUAAAGUUACAGUGUAGCGCUGUUUCCCUGUGCCUUCAACUGCUGACAUUCUGUUUUCUGGGCCUCUGCAAGGAUAGGAUCAGCUAGAGCAACCUUGACUAUUUGUUCCCAUUCCUGUUCCCCCAGGCUGAGACCUUCGAGUGGUUGGUUGGUUGUUCCUUUCAAAAUACCUAAAGAUUCACGGCCCUGCUCCAGUCCAGUUGCAGCCAAUGCUAGUUUUUGUAAACUGGUCCCACUUUGAUCACUCUGGAAUCCUUUGGGGGGAAAAAGUGAGGUGUUCAGACUUCCUCUCUCCUUCCCCACAAUAUGUGACUUUUAGGUGGGUGGAAGUGUCUGGGAUAAAAGAGUACUGGUUGUACCUACUCUUAGACCCAGGCAUGUGGAGUGAAAGUUGUGUUUAUCUGUUAAACAACCUCAAGCCAUAUGUCAGCCACCAUUCUAGGAUCUAAGAAGACAGAUUGAUAGAGAGCAUUUGUGGCCUCCAGAAAUACAUGGCUCUAGUACAUUAAGAGUGGGCUGAAGUGAGGUAUAGUGACAUACCCUUUAGAAGUGGAGCAGGAGGAUCAGUAGUUCAGGGACGUCCUCAGCUACAUGGUUUUAGGCCAGCCUGGGCUACAGGAGAUCUUGUCUCAAAAAAGUAGAAUCUUGAUACUAAUUCCAGUAGUCGGGGGCUGGGAUAGGAGGAUCACAGAUUCAAGACAUAAUGAGUCCAGGCCAUUCUGAGCUAUAAAGUGAGAUCCUGUCUCAAAAAGAGAAAAGAAGGUCUGUAGGGGUCUCAGGGUCGGAGGCCAGGCUUAUCCUGCACAAGGCCAAGUUCAGUCUCCAGCACCAACAAAAAGCAAAUGGGCCCUGGUCCCACAAAUGCCACUUUGAAUACUAGCUUUCUGGUUUCCUGGCUUUGUUACUGUUGCAGGUUCGAAAGCACACUAAGCCUGUUAUCUGUAAAAUAGGGGAAAUGAUACCUUGUGCAAUUGUGAGAGUCAAAACAACAUAACUGUUUACUUAGGUCCUAGUCCAGAGAAAUAAGUUAGUAUUAAUUAUGGUGGUGGAGGAGGUUAAGCAGGGAACUAUAAAUAGUAUUUUAAUAGAAGCAUGAGCAGUGGGUGAGGAAUAUAGCGUGGAAGGAUUCAGAUGUGGUUUGCAUUUGAGUUGGGCUUUUAAACUUGAGUAAGUUUAUUAGGAGAAGGAGAAAGAGCAUUGCAAGCAGAAGAAACCACAUGAAAGUCCGGGAGCCUGAACAUGGGGAGCUAUUCAGAAAUGUUCUUGCCUGGGGAGUUGGGACAGCCACCUUUCAUAGUGCAUGUGCUGCCUGAAAUAAAACAAGUGCUGGCUUGGCUCUGCUCCUUCUGGGACUUCCGGGCUCUUCUUCCUCUCAGAUGCCUUUAGUUGGCUUUCUUCCUCAAGGCUCAGCCUGAUCUCAGGUCUGCCAUGAAGACUCCUGAGCUCUCACCACCUCUCUGCUUUUCCCAAUCCCUGCAGUCCUUAAUUUUUACUACACAGUUUAGCAGUAAUUAUAUGUUGUCCUGUUAUUUAAUUAUCUCAUCUAUGCAAGUGUAGUCUCUUCGGUUCUCUCCCUUGGGGCAGGGGUGGCAGCUUCUCAUUUUAUGUCCAACAUGGGACUUAACCCAGACCAUCAGCCCACAAAAUAUGUUGAUACAAUGUCUGUUAACUGCACAAGCCACAAGCACCAGGCCCUAAUUAUUGGAUUACUGAUUGAGCACAUACUGGCCUGUCUGAAGUUAGUUGAAGAGGUUUGAAAAGAGAAUAAGGCGUCUGCCUCCAUAUACAAAAUGGCGUUACAGUCAGGGGUGUUGGCGUACGCCAGUAAUUCAGUCUUGGUUGACUGAAGUAGGUGGAUUGUGAGUUCCUGGCCAGUCAGAUAACUAGUAAGACACUGUCCAGAAGGAGGAAAGACAUGGCUUCAGGACAUGACAUGGCUAUCACAUUCAUGAACUCAGCAGCCGUGGUCGCCUGCACCUCAUCCAAAAUACAUGGCUCCAGUACAUUAAGAGUGGGCUGAAGUGGGGUAUAGUGGCAUACCCUUCAGAAGUAGAGCAGGAGGAUCAGAAGUUCAGGGAUGUCUUCAGCUACAUGGUUCUAGGCCAGCCUGGGCUACAUGAGAUCUUGUCUCAAAAAAGUAGAAUCUUGAUACUAAUUCCAGUAGUCGGGGGCUGGGAUAGACCAGCUAGAAUUCUGAUAAAGUUGAGGGAGGGGCUCUCCAGACACCACCCUUUAUUUGAGGAACUGUUGGCAGUUGAUAUCUGCUGCGAGAGGGAAAAUUGUAUUUUUGAGGAUGUGGCCUCUGGUGGGUUUCUCAUGCUCCAGGGGGAAAGAAGGACCAUUAUUUCCCCCCAGAAUCUUGGGAACAUCAAGAGACUAAUUGAGUGAGUACUGUGGAGGAAGCUGGAAUCUUCACAUCCAUUCACUUGUUCAGCACGACCCACAGUAACACUGUUGGAAUGACAUUGACUUUUGCUCUUACUAGAAAUGUCAAGACUUGAAGCCAUCAGCCAUUUUCUUCUUCUGCUCUCACACUCUGUCUUUUGGAUUAUGACCCAAAGUCAAGUUGAUUCGAUCUUUCCACAAAGACCAGCUGUUGUCAUUAAGAACCUAUUGUCUAGGUACCUAGUAAAUCACUUCUUGUGAUGUGUAUACAAGCCAUUCUUUUCCUAUAACAGGGAGUACUGUAGACAUUUGUUGUUGCCUUUAUUUUUGUAGAUAUUUUUAAUUUGUACUAACCAAGUUUAUGAGAGUUUAUUCAGUGCUGGAGGAUACCUAGAGUUAUUUAUCAACUUAAAAAAAUGGAUGUGGCCCACUAUGGUGGUACAUGCUUAUAAUCCCAGCACUCAGGAGGCUAAGAGUCUGAGGCAGGAGGAUUGUCAUGAGUUAGAGGGCAGCCUAGUCUACAUGGUGAGUUAUAGGCAGCCUAGGAGACCCUGUCUUAACAGCAAAACAGGUCAAAGCAGCUUGUUCAUGCAGAUGGGCAGCACUAAACACAGAGAUACAUAACUGGUCAAAGUUGAGAAGUGACUGAAUACUCAGCUUUAAAUGAUGCUCUUCCAACCCACAAGGAUGAGGGAAGAUGGCAGACGAGGAGGUAGACUGUAAGAGCCAGAGGAUGUGAAAUGCUCUCUUCAGGCAUGACAUGACUGUCACAUUCAGGAACUCUACAGCUGGGGUCACCUGCAUGAUCUAGCCAGCUAAAAUGCUGAUAUAGUUGAGAGAUAUGCUCUCCUGGUCCCCCUCCUUGUUUGAGGAACUGUUAGCAGCUGAUAUCUUCUUUGAGAGGGAAAAUUGUUAUAUUUUUGAGGAUGUGGCCACUAGUGAGUUUUCCACGCUCCAGGGAAUGGUCCCGCAUCCAUACACACACGGCCAGCGCUAAUUUAACUUUGUAGGCUAACAAAGGAAAAAGAAGACUCGAAGUUGAGAAGGAGAUGUGUUGGGGAGAUACAGGAAAGGUUGGAGAGGGAAGUGGGGAGUAUAUGUACAUGGUCAUAUUUCAUUGUAUAUAUGUAUGAAAUUCCCAAUAAUAAAGCAAAUUUAUAAAAACAGAAGAAUAUGGUCCCUGAGGAAGCAAUGUAGUAGUGCAGACAAAGCCAGCGGGCAAUUAAAAUACAUACAGUGGCCUGGAGAGGUGGCUCAGAGGUUAAGAGCACUAGCUGUUCUUCCAAAGGUCCUGAGUUCAAUUCCCAGAAACCACAUGGUGGCUCACAACCAUCUAUAAUGAGAUCUGGUGCCCUUUUCUGGUGUGCAGGUGAACUUCUUACAUAGUGGUUCAGAGUAUACAAAAGUAGAACUUGUCAGGUGUCUCAAAAACUAGGCCUGGAACCUGUACUGUCUCUUCUGCACUCUGUUAGUUUAAUCAAGUUACUGUGGAAGGGAAGACACCAGACCAUGAAUGUGGUGAAGUGUGGUUCUUUGGAAACCGAAAGAUUCUACAGGAGAGGCUGUGCAGGAGCCCCAUAUAGGAUGACAGUAACAACUUCUUUCUUUUUCUUCUUCUUUCUCUUCCUCUUCCUCCUCUUUUCUUCCCCCUCUGUCUUCUGUGUGUAUGUCAUAGAAGGACAUUGACUAUCUUUCUUUAUCACUUUCUACCUUACUCCUUUAAGACAGGGUCUUUCACUCAACCAGCAGCUUCCCAUUAGGGUAGGCUGGCUAGCCAGCGAGCUCCUAGGACCUGCUUGUCUCUCACCGUUCCCUCAUGUUGGGGUUGUUAUAGGUGUGCAUAAGCACCUUUUUGUUGUUUCAAGGUAGGGAUUCUCUGUGUAGCCUUCACUGCCCUAGAACUUCCUCUGUAGACCAGGUGGGCCUUGAAUUUAAGAGAUCUGCCUGCUUCUGCCUCCAGAGCUCUGGGAUUAAAGGUGUGUGCCACUACCACCUGGGCAUGCACAGCUUUUUACAUAGGUGCUAGAUAUUUGAACUCAGGUCCUCAUGGUUGGGCAUCUUACUAAACUAUUUCUAAAUAGUUACUAAACUAUUUCUCCAGUCUCCACAGAUUGACUUCUUUCAAAUGAAUGUGGGGCGGGAGAUAGAGCUGGGGCUAGGAAUAUAGCUCAAUUGGGAAAGUGCUGGCUGAGAAUGCAUGGAUUGUGCCCAGUUCCCCAGGACUUCAUAAACUCAGCCUGAUGGCACAUUUCUGUAAGCUCAGCACGGGGAAAGUGGAGUUAGGAUUAGAAAUUCAAGGCCAUUUAUCCUCAGAAAUGUAGCAAAUUGGAGGUCAGCCUAGGAUGCAUGAGACCCUAUCUCAAAAAAAAAAUAAAAAAUAAAAAAGAUGGCAAAGACUGUGGGGAGUAUGUAUGUGUUUAGGUAACUGCUGUGUGGGAUAGGUUGGAUCUAGGAAGGAGGUCGAGUCCUCAUUGUCACCCUGCCCUUCUCAGCCAGGAACUUCACAUUUGUCACUGAAGGCUGAGUCAUUCUCUUCAACACGGGCAUCAGUUUUGUUUGUUUACAGGAUUUGUUUUUUUAAUGCAAACUCUUUAAAAAUGUUUUGUUUUGCUUCAUUUAUUUUAAAAGAACAUUUUGCAGGAAACCUGCCACCUGGUAGGAAUCUGGACAUGGGGUUGGUCGGUGGUCAAGCAAUUUAUACUUGGGUGUGAAGUGUGCUGAGGAAGAACCUGCUGGCAAGGAGCAGGGAGCAUGGCACUGACCUCUCAGACAAGAAGAUAUAUGAAAUUGAAAUUAUCUUUUCAUUACCAACGAAAAGGUAAUGUAGAAGAGGGCAGAGAAGGUCGUUAAAAGAGUUUUCGCUGUAGUAAAAAGUCAAAUAGUACUAAAGGGUUAUAUCAAAACGCAGUAGACCUCUGCUGCAUGCCCUCCACCCUCCAGGCUGGCUCCCUGGAGGCAGCCGUUUUCAACUCUUUGAAGCGUCAGGAAGCUGGGCAGAAGAGCAGGAGUUGUGUGACCUUCAGUACCGUGCUCCCACUGACCGCCUGGUUGUCUUGGUCAGGUUAAUUAUUGUUUCCUUCAGUUCUCUCAUGUGUAUCAUGGGACUGAUGAAAUAGUGCUCGUCUCAGAGGACACAGUCAAUGAAUGAUGACUACAUAUGAUGAUGAUGAUGAUGAUGAUGAUGAUGGAGUGAUGAUGGAGGAGGAGGGAACUUGAGAGCCACUGUGAACACAAUUGGGUUUAGUCAUACACCAUACAAAUAGCUCUAGGGCGUGGUUGUGACUUAGGGGAAAGGACAAGAACCCAGGCUCAGUUGAAGAAGUUUGAGCUUUUUUCCUAAGAGAAAUUAUUUGUUCCCAAUCCCAUUCUUUUAUUCCCUAUCUCUUCUACAACCUUGUCACUGUAAUUACCCUGAUCUUCAUAUCAAAGCAUGCAUUUCUUCACUAAGUUUUUGCUUUCCGCCUAUGAAAUAUACACAAGCCUUUCCUAUCUCAGCCAAGUCAUUAAUUGAUCCUCCUGCUUCUUCAAUUAUCAGUCUGUUUCUUUGUCUCCAUUGCCAAAUUUCUCAGCACGAAUGUUGCCUCUUGUUUCUGUAUGAAUCCCUGGAUUUUGGCCUUGUUGGCCACUUCCAUCUCUGUCUUUAUGCUGCACUGGACACCAGGGUCAUCAAGACCUGCCUUAUUGGCCACCAGGGUACAUUUGGACCCACAGUGUUUGAGUGGGUUGAGCACAUUACUCCUUCAGUUUUACCUACAAAGGCUCACCCUGCCACUUCCUUAUUUCUGUCUGUGUUUCUUCAAGCAUCUAGGAAAGCGACCUUGAACUCCAGGUUGGCUCUACUUUCAUUUGUCUUCCACGUGUUAGUUUGCACUGUCAUUGUCAAUACUGAAGCGUCACGGAAGCUAGCAUCUGUAAAAGUUGCGUCAGAAUCUGGAGGGGUGGGUGUAGAUAUCUGACGAAUCCCAAAAGCAGAAUAUAGCUGGAGCCCAAGAAAGACCAGAAACUUGGAUUCCGGAGCCAACAGAGUGAGCUCCUCCCCAGCCUGCCUUAUGGAUUUCUUGUGAUCUGUAUAGACACCCGAAAGGUGUCAGACACUCCCACACCCAGCUGAUCACCAGGUCCUUCAAAAAUCACACUCUUGCCUCGGGCACUUGAAUGUGUGUCUCGUCCAGCUUCCCCUGAGAUUUUGGCCAUCUGAGGUCCCAGUUCAGAUACACCUGUUGGAGUUCUCCAGCCAGAAAGAGGGGGAAAACGACGCCAAGAAUCCAUUCCAAACGAACAACCAAGAUGAGGCGCGGCAGCUCCCAGAUGUUGAUGUUUUGUUUUUUGACAUAAAUCUUCUCACUCAUA